ensembl:miRNA
GCCAAAAAGUUCGUUCGGAUUUCUCUGUAAGCUGGUGUGGAUAAACCUGAACGAACUUUUUGGC